rnacentral:rRNA from 1 species
GACGAACGCUGGCGGCGUGCUUAACACAUGCAAGUCGAACGGUGAAGCGCCUUCCUUUUUGGUGGGUGUGGAUGAGUGGCGAACGGGUGAGUAACACGUGAGUAACCUGCCCCCUUCUUCUGGAUAACCGCAUGAAAGUGUGGCUAAUACGGGAUAUUCUGGGUCUGUCGCAUGAUGGGUCUGGGAAAGAUAUUGUUUCGGUGGGGGAUGGGCUCGCGGCCUAUCAGCUUGUUGGUGGGGUGAUGGCCUACCAAGGCGGUGACGGGUAGCCGGCCUGAGAGGGUGGACGGUCACACUGGGACUGAGACACGGCCCAGACUCCUACGGGGGGCAGCAGUGGGGAAUAGUGCACAGUGGGCGCAAGCCUGAUGCAGCGACGCCGCGUGAGGGAUGGAGGCCUGCGGGUUGUGAACCUCUUUCGCCAGUGAAGCAGGCCUGCCUCGUUUGUGGGUGGGUUGACGGUAGCUGGAGAAGAAGCGCCGGCUAACUACGUG